rnacentral:lncRNA from 10 species
ACCCACCUCAGCCUCCCAAAGUGCUAGGAUUACAGGCGUGAGCCACGACACUGAGCCUGCCCUACUUAGACUUCUUAAAGGCAGCUCCAGUGUCUGAUUUGCUCAUCACAGAAUUCUCUAUUCCUAGAAUUGUGCCUGGUGUUUAAGAGGCCUAAACAGACAUUCUUUAAAUCAGGGGUUCCCAGCCUCCAGGUCAUGGACUGGUACUGGUCCACCGUCUGUUAGGAACCAGGCCACACAGCAGGAGGUGAUUGGCAGGCAAGCGAACAAGGCAUCAUCUGUAUUUACAGCUGCUCUCCAUCACUCGUAUUCCCACCUGAGCUCUGCCUCCUGUCAGAUCAGCGGCGGCAUUAGAUUCUCACGGGAGCACAAACCCUAUUGUGAACUGCACGUGCGACAAAUCUAGAUUUUGCUUAUGAGAAUCUAAUGCCUGAUGAUCUGUCACUGUCUCCUGUCACCCCCAGAUGGGACCGUCUAGUUGCAGGAAAACAAGCUCAGGGGUCCCACUGAAUCUACGUUAUGGGAUAUUAGGAAGAGUAACUACCUCCCCAGCUGGAAGCUGGUAUAUCUCGCAGCAGGGCUGGGCUUCUAUUUCAGAAAGAACACGGCCACUUUGCUGGAACCAGAGCAGUGGCACAAUCCGAAUCCUGGCGGAGGGCAACAAGUCAGCUUCAUGCUCAGAAUCUGCUUCUCUGAAGGCCUCUGAAUUACCAGGAAGAAUCUAAGUACAAGCAGACAUAUUUCUCCCGGGCGUGGGGUGUGGGUCAGUGUUCUCAGUUGCAGACCACAGAAUCUGCCCCAGCUAGUUUAAACAGAAAGGUAUUUAUUACGUGUUAAAGACAGAUCACAGAAUCACUGGAGGCCCUAAAGAAAUAGACACUAGAAUGAACCUUCCGGAAGGACUCCCAAAACCACAACACAGAACUGUGCAGCCAAGGGACCUUCUGCUUCUGCAUGAUCAAGAAGCUUCAGAAGCAGGAAGCUGCCACCCCAGCCACCUCCAGGAAACUACCUCCCAAACCAGGAAAUCACUGGCAGCCUCCAGUUCCAUACAGCCUCUACCACCAUUGCUGCCACAUUGCUCUCCCUACAAAAUUCAACACCACAUGCAGGUACAUUUGGUUGGUUGAAAGUAAUUGCCAUUUUGUACAGUAGCUACAAGGGGGUAUGGAAAAUGCCAUUUGUAGUCCUAGCCUCUCAAUUAGAAUGGAUGUCAGUAUACUAAUCCAUGUGUAUACCACACAUUGUUUGGUCCUUUCCCUGGGCCUGGUGUGUCCUUAGAGGAUCAGAACAUGUUUACUUUUUUUAAAAAAAUUGUGAAUUAUUCAACAAAAUUCUGUCCCUAAAUCUCAGUGGCUAUGGCUUGGCUGCCCAUGGACCAACUUUCUAGAUAUUCAAGGCCAACCUGCCUAGAUGUCUAAAGGUUACUGUGCUCCUAUCUCCUGCUGGCAUACACCAUGGCUUCUUAGAACAUACAGCCAAACAUUUGUCCAAACUUCGGCCUGGCACAGUGGCUCACACCUGUAAUCCCAGCACUUUGGGAGGCUGAGGUGGGCGGAUCUCUUGAUGUCAGGAGUUCAAGGCCAGCCUGGCCAACAUGGUGGAACCCCAUCUCUACUGAAAAUACAAAAAUUAGCCAGGUGUCGUGGCAGGUGCCUGUAAUCCCAACUACUUGGGAGGCUGAGGCAGGGGAAUCACUUGAACCUGGGAGGCAGAGGUUGCAGCGAGACGAGAUCGUGCCACUGCACUCCAGCCUGGGUGACAGAGCGAGACUCUGUCCCCUCUCCCCACAAAAAAGGCCAUGCAUGGUGGCUCUUGCCUGUAAUCCCAGCAGUUUGGGAGGUUGAGGUGGGCAGAUCACCUGAGGUAAGGAGUUGAAGACCAGACUGACCAACAUGGUGAAACCCUGUCUUUACUAAAAAUACAAAAAUUAGCCAAGUGUGGUGGGGUAGUCGCUUGAACCUGGGAGGCAGAGGUUGCAGUGAGCCGAGAUCACACCACUGCACUCCAGCCUGGGUGGCAGAGUGAGACUCUGUCUCAAAAAAAUAAAAAAUAAUAAUACAUUUUAAAAAAUUGUCCAGCCGGGCGUGGCGGUGGCUCACGCCUGUAAUCCCAGCACUUUGGGAGGCC